GUCCAAGCGUUUGUCGGAAUUACUGGGCGGAAAGCGCGCGGACGCAGAUUAUUAAGUCAGUUGUGAAAACCCUGAGCUGAGCCGGGGAACUGCAUCUGAUACUGGUAGUCUAAAGUUUAAGAGAGGGAAGUGGAAUUCCAGGCGUAGCAGUGAAAUGCGUAUAUAUCUGGAGGAACAUCCGUGGCGAAGGCGACUUCCUGGCUUAAACCUGAAGCUAAGGUGCCAAGGCGUGGGGAGCGAACAGGAUUACAUACCCUGGCAGUCCACGCCGUAAACUAUGUCAACUAGUUGUUGGUCUAAUUAAAAAGAUUAGUAACGAAGCUAACGGCGAUAAGUUGACCGCCUGGGGAGUACGGUCGCAAGAUUAAAA
rnacentral:rRNA from 1 species